GCGCGGCGCCCGGCCCGGGGAGAAGGGGAUGGAGCCAGCGCCAGCGCGGGAGGUGGGACAGGACGGGAUGUACAGGGCUAGGGCGGGCGGGCAGCGCCGGGCCCCGCUCCCCUGGGACCAGCAGUGAGCGCUCCCCGCCCACCUGCCCGCCCCGCCGCGCCCGGAGUCCCCUCACGCGGAGUUGCAGCCGGGGGACAGGAGGGCACCUCGCUUCUGGCAGCGCGAAACGCCCCCGUCCCAGGCCGAUCUCCUCCUCUUCAGCGCUGAGGGUGCCAAGUAUUUCACACUAAGGGCAGUUUGCGCUCUCUGGUCCACCGAAAGUCUAGAAAAGGGUGUCUCGGUCUCCUCGAGUUAGGGGAAAAAUAAAAAGUAAAUUAACCGAGUUCGUUUUGUGCUCAACGCAGGACCUUCUUCUGAAACAGGAACUGAAAUUUGGCCAGUCAGCAUCGAGCUGCUGGUGAAAAUCUUGGUCACAUCAGCAUUUGCCGCCUUUUCGUCUCCUUAAGAAAAAAAAGUUAUGAGAAGUAUUUUUUAGGGCAAGUCUUCCAGAUUCAGGAGGGAAUAUUUUGUCACAUGUUUGUAAAGCAGCCAGGUCCACACAGUCUCUGGGCAGAUUCUGGCACUGUACUCGUAAGGAGCAGUAAGUAGUUCACUGGUGAAGACAGCAAAUACUAUUCUUCCUGAAAAGAAUAUUCAAGAAAUUCAAACUGAGCAGCAUAGAGUCAUUUUUGUCACAUUGCAUAAGCUAUGUGGUACUUGAGAUACACAUCUGUCGCUAGGGGCAUUUUUAGGUGCAAACAUGGUGACUGCCAGGGCAGCUAGUGGAAGUCACAGUUGCAUUAAUUUAGGUAGAAAUAUCAGUCAUCUCUUGUGCAACGAUGUCAAAGGAGCUUGUGCCCUGCACCCUCACAGUCACAGUGUCUGUCCUGGUAGCAGGUUGCACUACAGGCUUGGGAAGGCCAGGGACCCAGGAGAGGCCCACUAAGCCUCUUGGAGCAGAGAACAGAUACAAGGCCAUCACUCUUGGGCAUGCAAGGAAAGAAAGCUUGGAUACUGAUGCCCAUGGUCAAACUCUUCGAAGCAGGCCCACAAUUACAGGGUUAAAAAUGUUGAAAUUAAGAUGAAAUUGGAUUUAAAAUCUUUUGUAACAAAAGCUUCCAGUGCUGAAAUCAAAGUUGUAUACUCGGAAUUACAGCAAUCUAAAGCUUCCAUAUUCAAACACUUUUUAUGCCCUGAAGAAUAUAUGUCCUGUAGGCCAUAUAGGACCUCAGACAAUUCUUGUAAAACAUGCAAAGCAUGUCUAGAUUGCCCUUCAUGGUGAAAUCAUAAAGUUUACAUGCUGUUUUUUUACAAAUUUAGGAAAGUAAUUUUCAAAUAGAGCUGAAAAAUGAAGAUAGAAAUGAUACCUCGUUUUCAUUGCAUAGUUCUAUUUCCUUCACUGACAUGCUCUAAUUAAAUAAAUACAUAUUUAUAUUGAUAUAAAUAUAUACUUUUAAUUUAUAAAUGUAUACUAUAUAUUAUACACAAUAAAUUAUACACAUUGUAAAAUUUAUAAUUUUACACUUAUAUGUGGUAAGGUAUAUCAUACACAGUAUUUGCUGCACUACAUAGUUCAUGCUGCAUACUGUAUGUAACUGUGCUACAUACAAUACAAUUUGAUGUAUUCUGUGCUAGUAAAUAAGUUUGUAUUUAUAUUAUACUUCAUAUAUUAACAUCUAUAUAGAAAUAGCAGAUUAUAUUAUCAUAUGUUAACCAUUACAGUCAUAUACAUCAUCUGUACACACCUAUGUCCCUCAUGCAGCUUCUUUCAGUACCUCUUUUCAGAAACCCCCUGUAGGAAAGGUGAUGUUAAUUGACUUACUGUUGCUGUGUGCUUCAUUGCAUUUGGUGUUUCCUAGUCUGAGGCAGAGUCAGAACAUACACAGCUGCAGGUAUAACAGUGUGGGAUUCUGGUUUACAGUCGGCACAAGUUCAGAUACAGGGUGUUAAGUGCCUGAAAUCUGCUUAAAGCCACAAAAAUUACCAUGAACCCUCAGACUAGAAAAUGAUGUAUGAAUUAAUUUUUAUUUACACUUUGAUUGCAGUGAUAUCAUGUUUUUAAGUGCAUACACUCCUCUGUGAAUUUCUGUAGAGUGGACGGGUUGAAGUAAUUUGGUUCUCAUUUGCAGAUUGAAAAAAUCCUGUUUUCAUUCUACAUCUUUCCAGUCUUAGUGCACCUUUGCGGUAAGAAGCCCAUUAUUCAAAUUAAAAAUGUUUGAGUGAUAGCAAUUAAUAAUUUCUGAGUGAAUUUUUAGAAACUACAAAAGGUUUCAGAGCUCUGUGUGCCUGCAUGUGGGUCUGUGUGUGGGAGUGUGGGCAUUCUGUAUUUUUCAGUGAACUAAUUGUUAGAAGAAAUUAAAUCAACUUAUCUAUCAUAUGUGUAUGAGAAGAGCCACCUCUCUGGUUGUUAAUUUUGUGUCCAAUUGAUAGAUAGAUUGUUUGUGAGGCCGCAUGUUAAACACUAUCCUGUUUCAGUUGUAACAGCUUGAGGGUUUUUAUGUGAUAUUAACAUAAAAGGUCUUUAAGUAUUAUUUUUUCCACUAGAGAAAAAGAAAAUGCUACAAAUGUUGAAUACCUGAUGGUACUUUCUGUAAGUCUCUCCACUGUUUGGGUAAGUCCCUUACUAGAAUAUUCCCUUUUUCCCACAUACCACUUGUCCCACAGUUUUAGCUGAAUCCAGAAUUUUACAGGUCCUCUCCUAAGCUUAGAAAUUCUCUGCUACAUUGCAGGUUGUGUUCUUUUGUCACGGAGUCUGAAUCUAAAGAGUGAAUGUUUCUGAUCAUGUGUCAUUCUGGCCUGCAUUCUGAUUAUGUUCUAUUUUUUCUGCACUGAUUUUGGUUCCAUAAAUACACAACUCAAACUGCUCUCAUGUCCAUAAGCAGGCUGGUAUGGCUUAUAUUCUUCUCAUCUCCAAGUGGUACACAGGAUAAUAUCAUAAAUAUUAUAUUGGCAAAUCAUCUAGACCACCUUCUGUAAGCUUUAUAUCAACAGCUAACAAUUGGUCAUAGGAUAAAAUGUAAUCCUAGUCCUGUUAGUGAAAGAGGUACAUGUACUUCAAGUUUUGUGAUAAAAUUCAUACAAAUAUAAUUAGAAUGUAGAAUUCUGUGAUAAUAUAUAGCCAAAGCAUGUCUUUUCAUUGAGGUGGGCUUUCUUUGUAACCAUCAACCAUGUCUAUUCUAGGCCAAAUAAAAUUGUUUUCUUUUGCAGCUCACGGUGACACAAAACACAGCACAUUGUAACUACAAGAACAGACUCCACUGUGAAAGAUCUCUAUCAGGCAUCACAGAGAAUUUGAGGCAGCUGGCAGUUAUCAGCUGAAGCAGUUAGUAAGUAGAACUGUACAAGAUAAAUAGAUAAUUGAAAAGCAAUCUGGAAACCUGGGAGAGAUAAGCCUCUUUUUUAGAAAGAAGGUAACGACUCAGGUAGGUCACUGAGGAACUCAUCUCCCAGAUCAACUCUUUGUCUAAUAACACUGAAAAUACGGUGGCAGUUCAGGCCCAUCAGCUCUGAAGUAAAAUUCAAAUUGUCAUUGGAAAGGCAGUUUGGCAUAUUCAGUUAUUCAAAUCAUAAUUGCAAUACAGGGAGGAGGAUUGUAUUGCUGAAAGACAGGUGAUCAAAGUUCCAGGAACAACAUAGCCCUUUGUUAAAAUACAGUUGCCAAAAUAGAAAACUACUAACUACUAACUGUUGUUACACAACAUUUUUACCCUCCAUGCUACUUUGUUUAUACUGCCAUGCAACAAGUAGUAUUCCUGCAGGGCUGACCGCAGUUGUCUGUGGGGUAAGUGAUUUCUUCUUUUGUGCAAUUUAUAUUUAUAUUAAAAUAAUGUAACUAUUUUUAUUUACCAUGAGGGCAAAGAAGUGAAGGAAAAAGCCAAUGCCCAUGAGUAAAAGACUGUGUUGAUCUUAGUAUCUGCAGUUUAAAAGAGUCCUAAGGAGUCCUUCUGUUCAAGUCACUCCUAUGAUUGUCAAAUUUCUGACUACAGAAAGUGGGAAAUCUUGCAUGAACAUGCAAGAUAACUGAUAUCCUUUGGUAACUCUUCUUGCUAGGUUCUGAUCUCUUGUAGAACUACAUUGGUUGUAUAUCAAUAUGAGAGAGCAUGGGAUAUUUUUGUGAGAGUGGGCACAGAAAAUAAGCUUUUGGCCUUUUUCAAAAAAUAAACUGGCAUCUUUCCACCAGAGAAGUGGUGGAAAUUGAUCCACUGACAUCUGUCUAUUUUGUUAAACCAGUCAGGUGGAUCACAGGAAAUAACUGAUGCCAGUGUAAUAUUAAUUCUCGUGGAGCUGAUCAAAACAAACAAACAAAAACCAAACCCAAACAACAAAACAAAACAAAAAAAAGGAAGACUUUUGCUGUUCAAUUUACUUUGAAAGACACUUUUAAAAAUCUGUCUCCAAAAAUUCUGUCUAAAAAGUUCUGUGCAUUUAUGCUGAAAGUACAUAGAGCAAAACACAUGCAUCAAUUUUUUUUGGCUGUAUUAGUUGCUACAAUUACAGUGGCAGUUAAUGUAUUAGUUUCUACAGCACAGUAGCUAGGAGAGAAACAUAUUAAUUUCACAAAAUCCAUUAACAAGAAUUUGCAUGUGUCCAUGUUGCUGGUUGCAGAAAUAAUAUGAUUCAUUUGAACAGUCUCCGUAAAUCUUAAAAAGUAAUUGCCAUUUUUAUUUUUUAAGUAUUGUUCUAAUAUCUGUUUUACUGUGGUACUGGACAUGAAAUAGUUGUAUGCAUAUGUAAAUUCUGCUUCUGUGUAUUGACUCUUGAGGAUGUUUUCCCUCCAUAUCUCAUUCUGUGAUUGCUUAAACAAAAAAUGGCAAAGUUUUAAAGCUUACAAAAGCAUGGGAAGUUUUAAAUUACCAUUUGCUGUUUUGAGGCCUGAUUCAUCUUUCCUAGAUUAUAAUCCUAGUGGUAGACUUUGGUCAGUCUAGAGCCAUUUUUCAUAUCAGUUUCUCAGUUUAGAUGCAACUGUACAAUUGAAAAAUUACCAUUGUGUUGUAAGAUAUGCCUAUCUUCAUUAGAUUACAAAACUUCUUAGGUAGCAGGAGAAUUUUCUGACUUAUGUAUUUUAUUUUCUUUUAAAAGAAGAUGAAAUGAAAUAGCAAAAAAAAUUGCUUUUUAUAUAAAAUUCCAGAAUCUGCCUAAAUAAUUACUGUAUAAGAAUCAAAUAUAUCAAUAAUUAUAAUAUAAAAAGAUGCUGACAAUAUGCUAUUGUAAACAGAGCAAAUAGAACAUGUCAUGUGACUAUAUAGAACAGAAACCUUCAUCCCCUGGGAUUGAGAACACUCACUUAAUAUUUGAGCACAGCCAGAUAAUGAAGGAUAUCUCCCUUCACGCACAAUUAGUGAACUUGACCACAGAGUUUCCCAAACCUUCCUCUGGUCAGACCUCCUACAGUAGUACCUAAAUCUCAGAGAGUUAUACAGCAUGAGCCUGAUCUGAACUAUUUAUUCUUCACUUUUCUUGUUGAAUCUGGAUCACAACACAGAAAAACACUGAAAUACUCAAAGGAUUCAUAAGAGAGAAAAAAGUAAAAUAGAUAGAGAAAAUAGAAUAAUAUGCAGAGCCAGAAGUAGGAAAGUAUCACUCAGAGGGAAACAUAAUCCAUCUAUAUGGAAAGGCUCAGGUGUUAACUAUAUAUGUAAACUCUUGUUCUAGGCAACAGAGUAAAUGCAGUCUGUGGACCCUUCUCAGUGCCUUGUCUGCUGAUGAAAUGCUUUGCAUAUGUUUCAGAGGGAACCAAGUUGCUCUCCAAGCUCCAUCUGAACACAGACAAAAAUUAUGGCAUCAUGUGAAAUGAUGUCAUAUCAGUUUCUGUCUUGCAGUUCUCUACAGGAUGAAAUUCCCAGAAACUGGAAAAAUGCAUUUACAAAUAUAUUUUAAUCAGUAAGUUCCUGACAAAAAUAGUGAAAAGAACUUUCUUGAGUUUCUCCCAAAGACGAAUCAAGAUUCCGUAGAAUUGCUGGAUCUUCGCUUGUCAUUUGCUGUGAUUUGUGCACAUCAUACAAAAAAUAGCAACCAAAGCUCUUGGCCAGGUAAAGUAAUCUUGGAUAUCUUCGUGUGCCUUUGUUCUGAAAAUGUGUACCAAUGUAUAUCUUGGAUCUCAGGCUUAUUAAUGCAUUUAAGGAUUAUUUGAGUUGGUAACCUGAAAUAAUCUGACACUGCAUUUAUUGAUGCAGAAGGUUAUUCUGAAUUUUGUGUCCAAAUGUCCUACUUACUUACUUACUUUACAGUCCCAUGUGAAUAAAAUACUUUGCUUUAAACAUA